rnacentral:lncRNA from 1 species
AGAGGUCUGUCUUUGGAAACAGCAGAGCUGAGCCUUAGAGCAGAAGCCUCCUUGACCAGCAGACUAUGCAGAUGUGCUAGAAAGCACAUUCUCUCUUGAAUGUACAAGAUCUUCGCUAUUGAGUUCCCAGGCUUCCUACUUACCUGUUGCUGAAGACCAUUCUGUUCAACAGAGCCAGAGCUGCCAACCAGGCAGAGGUCUGUUGAUCGAACGCUUCAUCCUGCUCACUUGGACGAUGGCUCUGGCUGCACUCCAAGGCUCCCGGCUCCGUUCUUCUGGGCUGCUAUCCUUCAUCAGGUCCACAAACAGCAACCUUUGUCUCAUCCACAGCAAGCCAGCCAAGGGCAAAGUAGGACCCCUGGUAAGUUGUCUUCUUGUCUGUCGCCUCCUUGUCUAGGGCAGAGCUAGCCAAUGGGAUACACUUCAGAUGCUGCUGGACUCCCACUCCCAUCAGCACCAACCAGUAUGGCCAAUGGUCAAGGAUGAUGGGAGCUGAUCUAAAGCGUUUCGAGAUUGUCACUGUUUCUGGAUCGAAUUUGGUUGCACAUUGGCAAAUUCAGGUGGCGCUCUGAAAGUUUAUUUGGAGCUCUUGCACCACAGGCUUGCUCCCCCCUUAGAACUGGACUUUUUGCAAGAAGGAAAGUGUCAGGAAAAUGCUCUGGAAAGUGUGGCGUAACUCUUGCUCGAGGCAACAUUGUCUAACCGCCCUGAAAACAAAUCAUAUUAAAUAGUCAAUAAAUAGCCAAUGCUGUCUGACCUGCUUGCUGAUUUUGUGCAAGCAAAUCAGGAUGAAUGCUGAAUACGCAGGUCACCUGAGAGCUAUCCUGAUCUAUUUAUCAGGCAAGGCAAGCUGUCUCUCUUGAAAACCUACUCUUGAUCAGAACAACUGUAUGAGUGUGGAUCCCUGAGACAACUUAAUGAAGGAGCAUUUCUUGUUCCUAGCUCCCCUUUCUGAUGCCCAGAAAGCCUCUCUCCAAAGACACUGGGGAGAUGCCUGACCACUCUGGAAUAGGACUAAGAGCUCCUGGAGGAAAGAAUUCCUUCCAUGAGCUCCCUUAAGUUAAUUGAGGGGCUCCAGACUAGGGAUGGAAGGAUUUGUCUAUUUCAUUUCUCUCCGUUUCUAAUUUUUUCAAUCUUAAAUUCAGUUCUCCGCAUUUUGACGCAACUUGUGAUUUUCAGUCUGUCAGAUGGAACAAUCCUCCCUCUUCUUCCCCUGUGCACUGUUCUGAGGGAUCUCAUGACACACAGCACUUUGGGAAAGUGGGUGCAGGGACAGAAGGGGGGAAGCCCCAUUGCGCUAGCCUAAGUCCUUGCAGGGGCUUCCACUAUCAGGACUCAUGAAUUGAAUCACACCCAGAACAACCUAAGAUGAGUUAUUGGGUCCUGAAGCUUCCCAUCUACAGUGAGCACAGUGUUUUUCAAACUUGGUUCCCCAGCGGUUGUUGGACUACAACUCCCAUCAUCCCUAGCUAGCAGGACCAGUGGUCAGGGAUGAUGGGAGUUGUAGUCCAACAAAAACACUGAGCUAGCUCCUGAACAGCAGACUGAACAGACACACAUGUGGUCACAGUCUUCCUUGAGUAGAUGCCUUGUAUCUCUUCUUAAAUGAUAGCAAUUAUUUCUCAAACUGAGUAUGUAAAUUUAACUUAGCAUGUGCAACUGUUUUGCAAAUACACACACUUUUUUUAAAAAAGCAAUGCAUUUUCUUUUGUUUUGGCAAUGGCAAGGAAACCUGCUUCGGUUUCCAUGUAUCCAUCUGCAUGCAUAUGGAACUCUGGAGCAGUGAAAGAUCUCGUGCAAAAAGGUUGUGUUUCUGCUUAGCUGUGGCAGCGCACCCUCAAAAUGUGCAAAAAGCUAGAAAGGAAAGCGAAGCCACUAAGCUGUAGUGCAGCUUUGAAAGUAAUCCCCCACCCCCAUUUUUAACCCAUAGUGACCUAAAAUGACAAAUCACACUUUGCUUUUCAGUUGACAUGAAGUACUUCAGCUGGUGACUGGAUUUGUAGGAUAAUCAACUUUCACUGUGGUUGGUUCUUUGCAUCUAUCACAUUACUGAGAUUACAGCUUUAAAAGUUCAAUAGCGUUGGCUGUAUCUGUAAGGCAAAAAGCUCCCCCCCCCCUCAGGCAGCCUCGCUUGCGUCUCUGUUUUGCCUUGCAUGACCCUUCUUUCCCUUGAUUUAGGAAACCGUCAUCGGUUUAACAGUGUUUUCAUUGGCUAUUCUCGGACCAACUGGAUGGUUCCUGAGCCAUAUUUCAAGCUAUAGAAUGAGGUAGAAGACAUUCUUCUGCGUCCGAGAUGCUUCAGAUUCAGAUCUGCUAUCAACGGCCCUGGAAAAUAAAGUCACCUUGAAGUCCUACCAGCUAAAAAUAGAAGCACCAAUUCCAGGUUCUGCGCCUGUUGUUCUUACCUUACUGUUGCUUUGUGAAAACGCAAACGCUUACGGACAAUAACUGUUUAAAAUUCUGUUUAGCAUUUCUUUUGGCAUUUUUUAAAAAUGUAACUGCAUUUUCUCAUAUAUCAAUCUGCAGCAAAAAUCACCAUUCAUCUUGAAUCAUGAGUAGCAUUUCUGUAUCACUUUUAGACUGAGCCCUGGCCCUUCCUUGCCCAGGUGGAUUGGCGCAGGUGUCCAUUGCAGCUAUGGAACUAUUGGGUAGUUUCAGUGUUUCUCCUUAGAAAUGGGAAUUCUAGCCUAACUGAAUGGGUUAAUAACAGUCAUGCAUCAAGGAGACAAAAGAAGAGCCUGCUGGUUCAGGCCAAUGACCCAUCCUGUUCCUGCAGUGGGCCCCCAGAUGCCUGCAGGAAGCCUACAAGCAGGAUGUCAAGAGCGAGCCAGCAGUAAAUCACAAUGUGCAAACUGGAGUUAACUCUUUAUUAGCAAAAACAAUAACAGGAGUGCCAGGCCUAAUGAGCACAGCAGUACAUCUCCGGUAGUUCUUGUCCCCGUGAAACAGUUGCUGAGACUGAAGUUUCCUGCCUCCCCACAACUGCCUAUAUCCCCUCCUCUCCAGGGUUCCCCCCAAGCAAUCAGAGACUGUGUCUGCAUGUCACCCAUCUCUCCUCCGCCCUUUUCAUGUCUCUUCUGGUUCUGGGAGACAAGGAGGGAGGGGAGCUUGUUGCAACAGGAGCGGGAGGCACUCAGGACUCUUCACCAGGCUAAAUAAUCUCUGCCUCUCGGCCUUUCUCCUUCCACCCUCGUGCUUCAGUUUCUGUCUCUGAUUCUGUCACAGACUCUCCCAGCUCACGAAAUCCUGUUAACUCUUCAGCUUCCAACACCCCCUCUUCCCAGUCUUCUCUCUCAUUGUUGUCUGACCACUUAUUUUUGUCCCACCACAAAUCCACGGGCUCCGGACCUUAAUCCCUUGGUUGUUCCCUAACUGGUUCCUCCCAUCAUUCCUCUUUGCCCAAGCCUUUCAUAACACAGGACCUGUGUACAAGGACCCUCCCUCCUCCUGUGGUUUCCAGCAACUGGUAUUCAGAAGCAUUGCAGCUGGAGACAGAGCCUAGCCAUCGUGGCUAGUAGCCAUUGAUAGCCUUGAAUUUGUCUAAUCAUCUUUUAAAGCCACCUAAUUUGGUGGUCAGCACUACCUCUGUGGGGGUGAGUUUCAGAGUUUAACUAUGUGCUACAUGAAGAAGAAGGUACAUGGAUGGCGCUGAGGGUUAAACCACAGAGCCUAGGGCUUGCCGAUCAGAAGGUCGGCGGUUUGAAUCCCUGCGACGGGGUGAGCUCCCGUUGCUCAGUCCCUGCUCCUGCAAACCUAUUAGUUCGAAAGCACAUCAAAGUGCAAGUAGAUAAAUAGGUACCACUCCGGCGGGAAGGUAAACGGCGUUUCCGUGCGCUGCUCUGGUUCGCCAGAAGCGGCUUAGUCAUGCUGGUCACAUGACCUGGAAGCUGUACGCCGGCUCCCUCGGCCAGUCAAGCGAGAUGAGCGCCGCAACCCCAGAGUCGGCCACGACUGGACCUAACGGUCAGGGGUCCCUUUACCUUUACCUUACAUGAAAAAGUACUUUCUUUUAUUUGUCCUGAAUCUCCCAAAAAGAAUGAAGGAGUUUAAAAAAGUUGUGAGAAUUGGCAGUAAAGGGUGAAGUCUGGUUUUGUUGAUGCUGCACUCAUGCUGGAUUCUCCCGCACGAUCAUUUAAGUCAUCAUUACUCAAUGCCAGCCGUCCACGAGGAUUAGAGUUAAAGUCUCUGGGGGUAUCUCAACUGAUCUCAUAUUGAGCUGCUCAGCUCCUAGGUGUAGGAUAGCUCUCUCACCACAGCCGGCCUGAUUACAGACUUAUUAGGUCCAUGGGAAGAUUCCCAUAGUUUCAAGCCUGUGCUCCUCAGUGCAGGCUGCAAAACAACCCAGUGUUCAUUAGAUAACACCAAAGAGAUUUUGACAAGGCACAAACACAAAACUCUGAUUUUACCAGCAUGAUCACGCUUGAAUUGAGGACACACGAGUAGUAAUCCGUCGAGGUCAAGGGGAUCAUUCGUGCACUUUGAGUUAAUGAGCGCUCCUAAUUGCUUAGAAGAUUUGGGAUUUAGUUGCAUUUCACCCACACCCACACCCACACGCACACACCCACCCACACACACCAUGUCUUUCCCUAUAUAUAUCAUACAGGAAAUAACUUGAUGAGUGUUUGCCUGUUAUUUAUCUUUCAUUAAAGUGUUGCUGAUAAGCAAUAAGGCUGUCUGCUGAUAGCCAAGUAAACAAAGGACAUGGACCAGAGGAAUGGGAAUGGCAGGAGAUGAAACUGUGGUGUUUUGGGGUUUUUUUUUUAAAAAAGAGAUAAAUAACAUAUUUGGUAAAGUACAUCAAUGUUUAUAUAUUGUUCUGAGGUCUUGAGCAGUUGCUUGAAGUAUGGAUUGGAAUAAAAGGCCCUGGUGCAAUUCCCCCCCCCCCCAGUUUUCCUCUGGUAUUAUAAAGCAUGUCCAUUACACGAUAGGAGAAGGGGAGCUGUUGUCCUUAAUUACUUGUGAUUCGCUGGCCCGGCUCCCAAUUUUUGUAGUUCCUUGCCCCAGAGAGAGAUAGGCAAUUCAGCUGUUUGUCCCAGAGGUCCUCAAGGAAGAUGCCUGAAUCCAGAGGCAAGAAACUUGCUCUUCUGUCGCUUAGCAGUAGCUCUUAGUUCACCCUUCUCCACUGGUCUCACAGUCAUCAGAAGAGGAGAUAGGAGGCUGCCUUUGUACUGGAUCUGGGGAAAGACUCUUUGUGCUGUGUGAUCACCUGCGGUCUCCAGCAGCUGCCCUGUUUUGCUUAGUGCUAUCCAUGCAGGCACUGCCCACUAGGUGCCAUUUCAGGGACUGGCUGGAUGAGGAAGAGUGGUGGGAGGCCCCUGCGCAAGAGCCCCCCCCCCGGAGGGCUCAGAUGAAGAAGACUUCGAUCCCAGAUCCUGGUGGUGGGACACUGGGAAGCAGUCUGGAGAAGGGACAAGCUGGGAGGUGCUACAAGCAAGGGGGUUGAGCAAUCAAGGGGGGGGCAUCAGAAGAAGGAGGCCCUCCAGGACAGAGUUAAAGUCUGAGAGUCACAAUGUGAGUGCAGACAGCCCCAGUCCUGCUGACGCAGUGCUCAUCUGCUUGGGAGGGAUCCAGAUUAAAAGGUUAGAAGGGGAGGGAAGAGCUAGUGGUAAGUUUCGGCAAGGUCUCAGCCGGAUUAAUACAAACCGGAGGACUCUACUGUGAUGGUAUUUUCUGUUGAUAAAGACCUAAUUGCAACCUGUGCCUCCCAUGUGUGUGCCUGCCCUGUGGUUGACCUGGCUCGUUGACAACAACUUGACAUGCCCACAGCAACAUUGCUGUCAGGCACGGAAUGUCCAGAGUGAGGAAUUAAGUCAAAAGUACACUUACAAGUUAGGAAAAGGCAUGUCCAUCAGUCCUACUUUUCAGCUACGCCUAGGUGUGUACCCGAUGAUGCAGUUUCCGCAACAGAGAGGCCCCGAGUCAGGCUGCUGCCAGCAACUCCCACGGCCGGUUGCCCAGGAACAUACAAAAACAAGGAAUGUUCUUACCAUCCACUUUUUAUUCAGUAUUUACAGAGAGAGAGAGGCUAUAGAACCCAGCCUCCUGGAUAAGGGCAUUGUCCAGAGUGAAUCUCCACACCCUGGUCUCUCCUACUUCCUCCUUCGUUACUUCUAUGGGUACUGCUAUGUGCCCUCUGUCUUUGAGCUCUUUGCUCUCCUACUUUCAAGGCUCGCCGGGUUCUGGGGGGGGGGGUCUGUGUCCGUCAGCUGUUGCCCCUUCUUCCUCCUCAUCCUCUCCAAUUAGUUCCCAACUUCCCCCUCAUCUGCCUCUGAGCUGUGACAUCCCUCCAACCCCUGUGGUAAAUCUAUACUGUCUUCCUUUUCCUCCUCCCUGGAAUGGUCAGGCUGGGGAGCGAAUCCCCAUCAUUCGUCCUCUGCCCAGUUCCUGACACCCCGCCCCCAACCUUGGCUUAUGUAUCUCCCCUACCUGAGCUGCACACAAAAACUCCACCUGUGUGUCACCUGCUUCUGCUCCCCCCACUCCAAUCCUCUCCUGGUCCUGGGAGACAGUGGAGCAGCAGAGGCAGCCGCAGAAAGAGGAGGCAUGGUAGUGCGGUAGGAGAGCUGAAAACAAUGCCAAUAUAUUGCACAUCUAGAGCAAAAUGUAGAGCAGGAGGCUUAGUUUGGUCAGUAUACACAGAGUUAUCGCUAAACACAUUAAAUCUGGUAAAUGAGUCACCAUAGGCGCUAGAGGGCUGUGAAAAUCUGUGAGCCUUGGGAGCCGAAAUCCCAAGGGAGCAAAAAGACUAUUUAUGUAGGUGACCAUGGCUGCGCAGAUGUUAUUGGCCCAGAGAUGGAAAGAAGAUAAAAGUCCCUACCAGAGAAGAAUGGCAGAUCAAGUUGAUGGAUUAUGCCAAAAUGGCUAAAAUGAUCGGAAGGAUCAGAAAUCAGGAAGACCAAAAUUUUAAUAAGAAAUGAGGGAAAUUUAUAAUUUAUCUUAAAAACCAGUUAAACUCGUUAGUAGGAUUGGAAUAACACUUAUAGUUUAAUGGUGAAUUUUGGACACAAUGGAGAGGUGAAAGAUUUGGAUAAUUAUAAAAGAUGCAGGAGAAAAUGAUUUAAAAAAGGGGAGGGAGGAAGUCCAGGAGAGCCUUUGGAAUCUUGUUUCUAUGUAUGUUGGAUAUGGGACUGUCAAAUUUUAAUUGGGAAAACCAAAUAAAUUUAUAUAUAAAAAAAGAAAGAAAAUUUGUGUCCCAGGCUUUUUAGACUCUACUACUACCCACUGUGGCGCUGUGGGUUAAACCACAAAGCCUAGGACUUGCCGAUCAGAAGGUUGGCGGUUCGAAUCCCCGCAACGGGGUGAGCUCCUGUUGCUUGGUCCCUGCUCCUGCCAACCUAGCAGUUCGAAAGCACGUCAAAGUGCAAGUAGAUAAAUAGGUACCGCUCCGGCGGGAAGGUAAACGGCGUUUCUGUGUGCUGCUCUGGUUCGCCAGAAGCAGCUUAGUCAUGCUGGCCACAUGUACGCCGGCUCCCUCGGCCAAUAAAGUGAGAUGAGCGCUGCAACCCCAGAGUCGGUCACGACUGGACCUAAUGGUCAGGGGUCCCUUUACCUUUACUACCCAUGUACUAUCUGAAACCAAAGGGGCAGAAACCAAUGCCUGAUGUGAAUCCCCCCCCCAGCUCUCCUACCCCACUAUGAAAGGCCUGGACUCUUCACCAGUCUGGCCUGUUUCUCCCUCCUCCUGCAACUGUUCUUCGCUCCAGAAUCCUGCAGCUUCUCUUGCCUCUGACUCUCAACUCCUGGCUGCUACAGGCUCUCCCAGAUCACUGAUCCCUUCUUCCAAGCCAGUCUCCAAACUCCCCUCCCCUGGUGCCCGCUCAUCAGAAUCCAGCCACUAUCCCCUCAGUAUCCAGCCAGUCACUGACAAUUAUGCAAAAUGCCUACAAGCGUAAUGGAAAUCCUAACUAGCUGUCACCUGCAUCACAGAUGGUUAAACAAGCCUUAUAAAGUUGUUUUGAAACUGGGGUUCUUUAUAUUCUUCUUCUACUUUGCAUCUGAUUUAUAUUUAAUAGUGUUAGAAUAUAAUUGAUAGAAUCUGCUGUACUGCAUAUAUACUUUAAAGAGCUAAUUGGCAGAGAACACUCAACUAGCCUGCAGGGGGAUCUUGCUUUCGUCCAUGAUCAGCGAAGAAACACAACUUCCCCCAAAUUAGUAGUCUGCACAAAUCUCAUUAGAUGCUGCUGGAACACACAUCUUAAUUUGUUACCAUAGGAAUAGAUAGAAUUAUGUGAUCUCCUACACUGAUAAUUAGAACACAGCUAAUGAACACACAUGCUUAGUAGGUUGGGAAUUACAAAUCUGUUUUUAUAUGUGAAACAAAAGCACUGUGGGCCAUCUAGGAGCUUCAAUGUAAAGGGGAAGAGACAAUGUAAUAAGCAAUCUUUAAAUAUUUGAAUGGCUGUCACAUAGAUGAAGGCGAGAAUUAGAUUUCUGCUGCCCCAGAGGGCAGGAUCCAAACCAACAUCACAAGAAAAGGGGUUUAGAUUCAACAUUAGGAAGAAGUUCUCCCAGACUGUACUGUUUGACUGUGGAACGGACUGCCUCAGAAGUUGGGGAACUCUCCUUUGUGAGAGCAGAAGCUUAAUUUCAUCCCCCCCCCAUUUCAUUUUUAAUUUGUACACCACCUUUCUAUAUUACUAUACACAAGGUGGUUUUCAACAACACAAUAUACAACAAAGAACACACAUCUUCACAGGCAUCUCUCAGAGCUGCAGCCCUUCCUCAGCGAAUUCUCCAAAUGAGUUGCUAUAAUGAUUUGUUUAGAGAUUUUUUUUUUUUUUAAAUCCUCUUUAGGAGUCAUGAAUUGGAUAAAAUUGAUGGAGAACCAGCAGCUAUCUUUAAGACAGUCUAAAAGACAACUGAAUUAUAUAGUUACGGAAGAGCUCUUUGAAUGAGUGACAGUUUAGUUAUUAUGGAUACUGUAUUUGUAAAAUCAAUUGAUGGGUCAUGAAUUUGUGUUUUCCAUUGAUGACGUUUGUAGAAUUUAAUAUUAUUAAUAAAGUUUAC